GAAAUGCGAUAAGUAAUGUGAAUUGCAGAAUUCAGUGAAUCAUCGAGUCUUUGAACGCACAUUGCGACCCCUGGUAUUCCGGGGGGCAUGCCUGUCCGAGCGUCAUUGCUGCCCUCCAGCCCGGCUGGUGUGUUGGGCCGCCGUCCUUCCUUCCGGGGAGGGACGGGCCCGAAAGGCAGCGGCGGCACCGCGUCCGGUCCUCGAGCGUAUGGGGCUUCGUCACCCGCUCUGAAGGCCCGGCCGGCGCUUGCCGACCCAACCUAGUACUUUCUCCAGGUUGACCUCGGAUCAGGUAGGGAUACCCGCUGAACUUAA
rnacentral:misc_RNA from 1 species